rnacentral:rRNA from 1 species
CCUACGGGAGGCAGCAGUGAGGAAUCUUGCACAAUGGGCGAAAGCCUGAUGCAGCGACGCCGCGUGAGGGACUAAGGCCUUCGGGUUGUAAACCUCUGUCAGUAGGGAAGCGGUACCUACUGAGGAAGCUUCGGCUAACUACGUGCCAGCAGCCGCGGUAAUACGUAGGAAGCAAGCGUUGCCCGGAAUUACUGGGCGUAAAGAGCUCGUAGGCGGGGGCGUGCGUCCGAGAAGAAAUCUCAAGGCUCAACCUUGGGGCUAUCUCGGAUACGGCGCUUCUUGAGGGUGAGAGAGGAAAGCGGAAUUCCAGGUGUAGCGGUGAAAUGCGUAGAUAUCUGGAGGAACACCAGCGGCGAAGGCGGCUUUCUGGCUCAUCCUGACGCUGAGGAGCGAAAGCGUGGGUAGCGAACGGGAUUAGAUACCCUUGUAGUC